AAUGCGACUUCGGUCAAAUGACUUUUGAACUUAGUGGCGGACGGGUGAGUAACGCGUGAGCAACCUGCCUUUCAGAGGGGGAUAACAUUUGGAAACAGAUGCUAAUACCGCAUAAGACCACAAAGUCACAUGGCAAAGGGGUCAAAGAUUUAUCGCUUAUGGAUGGGCUCGCGUCUGAUUAGCUAGUUGGUAGGGUAAAGGCCUACCAAGGCGACGAUCAGUAGCCGGUCUGAGAGGAUGGACGGCCACAUUGGGACUGAGACACGGCCCAAACUCC
rnacentral:rRNA from 1 species